rnacentral:rRNA from 1 species
CGCGGCCUAUCAGCUUGUUGGUGAGGUAACGGCUCACCAAGGCAACGAUGGGUAGCUGGUCUGAGAGGAUGGUCAGCCACAUUGGGACUGAGACACUGCCCAAACUCCUACGGGAGGCUGCAGUCGAGAAUAUUUCGCAAUGGGGGAAACCCUGACGAUGCGACGCCGCGUGGGGGAUGAAGGCCUUCGGGUUGUAAGCCUCUGUGUUACGGGAUGAAUUGAGCGUUGCUGAUAACGCAGCGUUUUUGACGCUACCGUAGUAGAAAGCCCCACCUAACUACGUGCCAGCAGCUGCGGUAAUACGUAGGGGGCAAGCGUUGUCCGGAAUCACUGGGCGUAAAGCGCGCGCAGGCGGUGGAGUAAGUCAGACGUGAAAGGGUUCGGCUCAACCGAGCCAUUGCGUUUGAUACUGCUUUACUUGAGUCUAGAAGAGGAAAGUGGAAUGUAUGGUGUAGCGGUGGAAUGCUUAGAUAUCAUAUAGAACACCCGUGGCGAAGGCGGCUUUCUGGUCUAAGACUGACGCUCAUGCGCGAAAGUUUGGGGAGCAACCGGGAUUAGAUACCCCGCUAGUCCUUACUGUAAACGAUGGGUACUAAGUGUAGGGGGUGUUGAUUCCCUCUGUGCUGUAGCUAACGCAUUAAGUACCCCGCCUGGGGAGUACGG